AGUCGGGUUAUUGUUGUUUAUCAGCACAAUACAAAAAGAUUCAUGUUAGAAAUAUUCCAGUUAAGACUCUAGAAUAUCAUGAUUUAUGUAAAUUUACCUCAAUAAUAUGAAUGUUCAGGUUAAGAUUGUGCAGUGAUAUUUAUUAUGUAAGUUUAGCUGAUUAAAGUUUAUUAUUUAAAUUGACAUCAUUAUUAUAAUAUUUAGGGUCAGACUCUACAGUAUUGAGAUUAAGAAAUCAAAUAUUCUAUAAAAUGUAAAUACACUGAACUCAUUUGGAUAUAUUUAAGUGAGACUCUACAAUAUUAUUUAUGACACAAAUCUAUCUAAAUCAACAUUUUAAUCAUUUUUUACUCCAAACAUUUACUGGACUGAUUUAAAUAUUAAAAUCACUCCUUUCUAAUCCUCUGCUGUACGUUCAAACCUGAGGCCUUAAAUAGAAACACACAAGUAUCUGAUUGAAGGAACUUCUGCAGAGUCCUGGUUCCAGAACAUGAUGAUAGAAUUAUAGACAAACUUUAACAAAAGCUGCCUGAGAGUUUACAGGUUUUUAUGUUAGAUUUCUUCAGUAAUUUAAUGAGAGUUAUCAGCAAAAAUCAAGUGUUCAUUUGAUGAACUUCAUUUCCUAAAACAUCCAGAAUUGGAGCUCAUAUCUUUGGCAGCUGUAAAGUUUCUGCUCCUUCAAAGUUCACAACACAAUGAAUGAAUUCCUAAAACACUCUCAAUGCUGGAGAGCGUUUGAUGCUGAAGCAGUGACCAGUUUUUCUGUUUCUUCUCUGGAGAUGCACAAUGAGGGACGUCUGCAGAGACUGAGAAAGAGUCUCACCACAUCCUGACAUGAGGAAAAAGACUUUAUUGAAGACUACAAUGAGAAAAACUAUCAGACAGCAGACGGCUGCAUUCAAGUCUGUAGCUGCUGAAUUCAUGGAUGAAUCAUCUGGCACUAGAGAGGAAGACCAUCAAACAUCCACGUCAGCUGAUGGAGGUCCAAGAGUCUCACCAAACAAACAACCUACAGAGUGAAGACCUCCAAUCUGAUUGGACGGCCUCCUAUUCAGCCACAUUUUAGGCUGUUAGAUUGUUCCAGAUAAGACAAGUACAAGAUUCUUCAGAGCCGUUCUACCACGAG
ensembl:lncRNA